rnacentral:lncRNA from 1 species
UCUAGUGGCAAGAGGGAACUGCCAAGGGAAAUCUGAGAGGAGGUGUUUACCCUGCGUAAACACCUUGCUGUUUAGCUUGGCAUCCCUAGAAGCAGACCCUGAGGACAGUGGGAAAAUGGAUUAUUAAGGAAGUGCUCCUGAGAGAAACCAGAAAGGGGGUGUAGGGAGCAAGGGAGGAUAAGGAGAAGACUCCAGUAAGGAUGAGAUUACUCAAGUCCCAUGGAAGACAGGUUAGCCUGAUCCUGCAGGGGAGCCCUGGAGGACUUAACAUCUCUGGAAAGCCAGAAAUCAGAGAUACAGAGAAGUAUUGAAAUGCUGAAAUGCUAUGAAUUUACUAUAAGAGAACAUUCUUCACUGAAGAGAUCUCUAGCUGCCAAAACACCCUUUCAUGCGUGAAAUACCGGGGCAAAGAGGAAGGAAAAGAGAAGAGUAUGACUCUAGGAACCAUGUUGCAGAAAUGCCAAAGGGUGGGACAAACAAAGUUACUAAUGUGGAGAAAGAAGAUUAUCAUGUGUGGAACGAAGGACAAUAUGAACAUUAAAUAAUGCCCUGACUCAUUCCAAAAAGAAUCUGAGAUGACCAAUAAAGCCAUUUUUAAUUGUUUAUUAGUGAACAAUAGAUUAUGAGUGCUAAAGGGAUUCAGGAAGAAGAAAGAUCAGUGCAGAGUAGAGAAGUCUGAUGGAUGCAUUGAAGAAGCUAUGCUUGAGCUGAAAUGACAAGAGAGCUGUUUUUCGCUUUCAGAAUUAUUAUGUGGCAAUGGUAAUUGACAACAGAGAAGCUGAAGGUA